CCUCGAAGCAGUGUUCUGGAAUUCUUUGUGAGGGAAAAUCAUUCAGACCCUCGUAGCAGUGUUCUGGAAUACUAUGUGAGGGA
rnacentral:miRNA from 10 species